GGGGGCAACCCUGAUCCAGCAAUGCCGCGUGUGUGAAGAAGGCCUUCGGGUUGUAAAGCACUUUUGUCCGGAAAGAAAUCCUGUGGGCUAAUACCCUGUGGGGAUGACGGUACCGGAAGAAUAAGCACCGGCUAACUACGUGCCAGCAGCCGCGGUAAUACGUAGGGUGCGAGCGUUAAUCGGAAUUACUGGGCGUAAAGCGUGCGCAGGCGGUGAUGUAAGACCGAUGUGAAAUCCCCGGGCUUAACCUGGGAACUGCAUUGGUGACUGCAUUGCUCGAGUAUGGCAGAGGGGGGUGGAAUUCCACGUGUAGCAGUGAAAUGCGUAGAGAUGUGGAGGAACACCGAUGGCGAAGGCAGCCCCCUGGGCCAAUACUGACGCUCAUGCACGAAAGCGUGGGGAGCAAACAGGAUUAGAUACCCUGGUAGUCCACGCCCUAAACGAUGUCAACUGGUUGUCGGGCCUUCAUUGGCUUGGUAACGUAGCUAACGCGUGAAGUUGACCGCCUGGGGAGUACGGUCGCAAGAUUAAAACUC
rnacentral:rRNA from 1 species